CACGUAGGGGGCAAGCGUUGUCCGGAUUCAUUGGGCGUAAAGAGCUCGUAGGCGGUUCGAUAAGUCGGGUGUGAAACCUCCAGGCUCAACCUGGAGACGCCACCCGAUACUGUCGUGACUAGAGUCCAGUAGGGGAGCGUGGAAUUCCUGGUGUAGCGGUGAAAUGCGCAGAUAUCUGGAGGAACAACAGUGGCGAAGGCGGCUGUCUGGACUAUUACUGACGCUGAGGCGCGAAAGCGUGGGGAGCAAACAGG
rnacentral:rRNA from 1 species